GUGCCCAUAGUGAAAUGGUUAUCACGCGACUCUGUGGCAGUCGCAGUACGGGUUCAAUUCCCGUUGGGCACCCCA
rnacentral:tRNA from 1 species